UGCCAGCAGCCGCGGUAAUACGGAGGGCGCGAGCGUUGUUCGGAAUCACUGGGCGUAAAGCGCGUGUAGGCGGCUUGGUAAGUCGGAUGUGAAAUCCCGGGGCUCAACCCCGGAACUGCAUCCGAAACUGCCUCGCUGGAGUCCCGGAGAGGAUGGCGGAAUUUCCGGUGUAGAGGUGAAAUUCGUAGAUAUCGGAAGGAACACCAGUGGCGAAGGCGGCCAUCUGGACGGUGACUGACGCUGAGACGCGAAAGCGUGGGGAGCAAACAGGAUUAGAUAC
rnacentral:rRNA from 1 species